GUGAUCAGUUUGAAAACACAAACGUAAAACAUUUUUUACAAAAGAUUCAUAGGUCUUCAAAAUGCCCUUGUCUUGAACUCAGCACCUGGGCUGAGAAAGGCCAACCCAGCCUGCCCUCUCCUGGAUCUAAACUGCAGAGAAGAUCUAUGCCCAUAUUUGCUGUGUGUCAUCAUGUUUUCUUUCAGCUGUGGUAGACUUCAUGCCAUGUGACUGUGACCACGCAUGACAAAGCCUGUGUCCCUUCCACCUUCACUGGACAGUGAGCCUAAACCCGUGUGAGCGGUUCUGUGUGUGGUUUCCAUUUGGUCCCAGUAGGCCGCUCAGAUGUUUUCUCAGCUGCAGAAAUCUUGAAAUACUAAGCCACUUCAGGCAGAGCCUUCACUUCCGUCCCAGCCAGACCCAGGAAACCGCUCCCUUGGACACCAGUGCAGAGCCUUGGAGGGUCAGGCGUCUGUUUGAUGCCCAGGAACAGUGAGCCCACCCUCUGUUCGUCUAAGCCAUGCUUCUCAGAAGAAGGAGUUGGCAUUGGACAGUGUCGCUUGUGUCCCGAUGGGCCGUCUGGCACCCUGUGGGACUUUUAGCCCCUGGGACCUGCCGGCUAAAUGCCAGCAGCGCCCGAGUGAUGGUGACAGCGCAUCUGCCCUCCGUGUUUCCAGACACCCCGAGGCCUGGCUCCGCUGCUUGCUUGGGAGCCCCUCUCCUGAAGCUGUAGACUUAGUUUCUGUUUCUGGUGAGUAAGAGCCUGAGACUGGACAGAGUUCAGCUGCAACCCCAGAACCACCCUCCUUGGAGAAGGACCAGCCUCAGGUUCACUCUCUGGAAUCAGAGAGGAUGGCAGGUGGCCUUCUCCACGGGGGCCCAGGAGUCAGGGGAACCAUGCAUACUCCCUUCCCUCCCCUUACCUGUCAGCGUGACUUGCUCUUUGGUGACUUUCUGUGUUUUGCUUUGGGCAUCGAUGGCACCUGCAGAACAGUCAUCAGCUUUGGUGGCACGUGCUCCUUCUGGUAAAUGGGAAUGAGAACAGUGGAAGGGAGAUGGACGACCUUCAGAGUCUUUCUCGUUGUUGGGUGAAUCUUUAUCCGUGGUCUGAAGAGAGCCCAGUGGGCUUGUGUGAGCAGCUGGGGUCUGACGGGCACGUGACCCACACUGUGCUCCCAGCUUGGCCACUAGAUGAGCUCUGCCCUGGCCCAGAUUAGCACACCUCGGCUUCACAGUGGAGAGAGGGCAGGAGUCAGAUGGGAAGGCCCU
rnacentral:lncRNA from 1 species